AACGCACAUUGCGCCCGCUAGUAUCCUGGCGGGCAUGCCUGUUCGAGCGUCAUUUCAACCCUCAGGACCUCCUGGUGUUGGGGCGUUAGGGGACUCCUAAGCCCUCAAAGUCAGUGGCGGGCUCUGUCACACACCGAGCGUAGUAAUCUUUCGCUUAGGGGUGUGCCGGGGCGCGGCCUACUUACACUUUUAUCAAGUUGACCUCGGAUCAGGUAGGAAUACCCGCUGAACUUAA
rnacentral:misc_RNA from 1 species